rnacentral:rRNA from 1 species
CCUACGGGGGGCAGCAGUGGGGAAUAUUGGACAAUGGGGGGAACCCUGAUCCAGCCAUGCCGCGUGUGUGAAGAAGGCCCUCGGGUUGUAAAGCACUUUCAGUGAGGAAGAACGCCUGGUGGUUAAUACCCAUCAGGAAAGACAUCACUCACAGAAGAAGCACCGGCUAACUCCGUGCCAGCAGCCGCGGUAAUACGGAGGGUGCGAGCGUUAAUCGGAAUUACUGGGCGUAAAGCGCGCGUAGGUGGCCUGAUAAGCCGGUUGUGAAAGCCCCGGGCUCAACCUGGGAACGGCAUCCGGAACUGUCAAGCUAGAGUGCAGGAGAGGAAGGUAGAAUUCCCGGUGUAGCGGUGAAAUGCGUAGAGAUCGGGAGGAAUACCAGUGGCGAAGGCGGCCUUCUGGACUGACACUGACACUGAGGUGCGAAAGCGUGGGUAGCAAACAGGAUUAGAUACCCUGGUAGUC